rnacentral:tRNA from 1 species
GGAGAGGUGGCAGAGUGGUCGAAUGCGCUCGACUUGAAAUCGAGUGUACGCAAGUACCGAGGGUUCGAAUCCCUCCCUCUCCG